rnacentral:misc_RNA from 1 species
CAGAGUUGAAAGACUCCCCACACCAUCGCGAACGUUACCCUUAACCGCUGCUUCGGCGGGCGGUCUCCUUCAACCCCCCCCACGGGGUUGGGAAACCCCUCGGCCCUCCCCUUUCGCGGGGGGGGGGGGGGGCGCCCGCCGGAGGUCACGCAAACUCUUGAUACCUGAACGGCCUCUCUGAGUAUUCUGUACCGAAUUAAGUCA